GUGCUUGCUUUAGCAGCACAUAUACUAAAAUUGGAAUGAUACAGAGAAGAUUACCAUAAUCCCUGCACAAGGAUGAAGCGCUCCGUAAUUUUAUUUUUCUGUUUUUC
ensembl:snRNA U6 U6 spliceosomal RNA